GGCGGACGCUGCUCUCCAAGGGACGGCCGGGGCCGGGGCUGCAGCUGCUCUGGGGAUUGGGGGCUGCGCCGGCUCGCUCGGCCGCGCUCGGCCCUCCUCCUUAAAGGGACAGAACUGAAGUUUCAAAGAAUAAAAUACCUCACUAGGGCCACAGCAGCCAGCUACAGUCAGGAGUCCAUCUCAGGUGGGUCUAACCCCAAACCAGAGCUCUGACCACGAUUUGCCUGCAGGUCAUCAGGUUGAUCCUCUAGGAAAGUAAACAGCUCUGGGCAACAUGGACACAAGUACAAGGUGCAGUGGCAUGAUUGCCAUGGAAAUAAAUCUGUUACUCGUGUAGUGGAAAUUCAGUGAAGAGACCAAGGUUUGAGGUGGCCAGAAAGGAUUCAUGGAGGUUCAUAAGGUCAACAGACUGGACACUCAAGACUCACACCUGUAAUCCUAGCCACUUGGGAGACUGAGAUCCGAAGGAUUGAUUCCAGCCCAUUCUAGGCAAAAAAGUUUUUGAGACCCCAACUCAAUGGAAAAAAGCUGGGUGUGGUGGUGCCUGCCUGGUUUUGCGGUCCCCAGGAAGCCUAAAAUAGGAGGAUGGAGUGCAGGUGAGCCAGGACAAAAAAAGUAAGACCUUAUCUCCAGAAUAACCAGAGCACAAACGACUGAGUGGUUCAUGGGUAGAGUGUCUACCUUGCAAGCACAAGUCCUGAGUUCAAACCCCAGUACCACUAAAACAAAACAAAGAAAAUAGGAUCAUCAAAAGGGAUGUGAUUAUUAAAAAGGGAUUUUCUGCCUCACCUUUAGGUUUGGUAUCUCUUUUGAUUUGGAGAGCAUGAUUGUGUCCUCUACUUAGGAAAUGUGUCAUUUAGGUGAAGUAGAAAAAAAAACUUAGCUUUUCAAGAUGUGUGGGGAAGCUAACAUCUGUGGGUGUCCAUGUUUUUACUAUCAAAUGAACAUAAAACCUAUGCUAAAGAAUUUCUGCAAGAAUUGAUGGAUUGUGUCAGUAAUCCCUGAUCAUGGAUACACAGCAGAAUUACCUGGGAUACUUCUGAAACAACCCAUGCUCCAGUCUCAGUUCAAAUGAAAUCCUCAUAAUCAUUUGAUGUAAAUUAGUCAUCUAGCAGGAAACAUUAGAGGCCAGAAAAGUAGAAGCCCACAAAAUAUUAGCUCCUACACCAGAUACAGUGGAUCACAUUUGUAAUCCCAGCUACUCAGGAGGCUUAGAUCAGGAAGGAUCACUGUUACAGGCCAGCAAGGCAAAAGUGCAAGACCCCAUCUCAACAAAAUGAGCUGGAAGUGAUGGCUUAUAUCUAUAAUCCCAGCUGCAGGAAGCAUAGGUAGGAGGAUUGUAAAUAAAAAAGUGGAAAGGGCCAGGGGCAUGGCUCUAGUAGAAGAGUGCUUACCUAAGCAAGCACAGGCCUUGAAUUCAAACUCUAGUACCACCAAAAAUAAAAAAAAAAAAAUCCCCCAAAA